CCCUCCGCUCAAAAAAAAAAAGGAUCCUAGCCCGGGUCGGGUCGAAUUCUGGUCGGCCUCCCCAAAACGACGCCAUUUUGGCACCUGGGGAAGCCAAGUGAAAUGGCGCCGUUUCACUAGCCUAUUUAAGCCAAAUUUGGUUCAAAAAUUUCAUUUUUCAUUUAAAAAAAAAACACAAAAAAAAAUCCUUCAAAAAAACUCUCUCGCCCCUAGUCGUCCGGCUUCCAGUCUGGUCAUCGGCCACCGUGCUGGCCGCCGAUCUCCGGUGCCGGCACAGCUUUCUGCGGUGGCCGAAAAAGGGGAAAAUCCCCUAUUCAAC
rnacentral:lncRNA from 1 species